rnacentral:rRNA from 1 species
UGGGGAAUUUUGGACAAUGGGGGCAACCCUGAUCCAGCCAUGCCGCGUGAGUGAAGAAGGCCUUCGGGUUGUAAAGCUCUUUUGUCAGGGAAGAAACGGUAGUAGCGAAUAACUAUUACUAAUGACGGUACCUGAAGAAUAAGCACCGGCUAACUACGUGCCAGCAGCCGCGGUAAUACGUAGGGUGCAAGCGUUAAUCGGAAUUACUGGGCGUAAAGCGUGCGCAGGCGGUUGUGUAAGUCAGAUGUGAAAUCCCCGGGCUCAACCUGGGAAUUGCAUUUGAGACUGCACGGCUAGAGUGUGUCAGAGGGGGGUAGAAUUCCACGUGUAGCAGUGAAAUGCGUAGAUAUGUGGAGGAAUACCGAUGGCGAAGGCAGCCCCCUGGGAUAACACUGACGCUCAUGCACGAAAGCGUGGGAGCAAACAGGAUUAGAUACCCCUGUAGUCCCUGAGCGGGCUGGCAAGGCGCAU